GCUUAACACAUGCAGUCAAGGAGAACGUUCUUCGGAAAAUUAUUAAACUGGCGAACGGGUGAGUAACACGUAGACAACCUGCCCUAAAGAUUGGGAUAACCCCGGGGAAAGCGGGACUAAUACCGAAUGAAGCAACUGACCCAUCGGGGUACAGUUGUUAAAGUGGGCUUCGGCUCACACUUUAGGAUGGGUCUGCGUCCGAUUAGCUUGUUGGUAAGGUAAUGGCUUACCAAGGCGAUGAUCGGUAGCUGGUCUGAGAGGAUGAUCAGCCACACUGGGAUUGAGAUAUGGCCCAGACUCCUACGGGAGGCAGCAGUGGGGAAUUUUGCGCAAUGGGGGAAACCCUGACGCAGCAACGCCGCGUGACCGAUGAAGCUUCUAGGAGCGUAAAGGUCUGUCGUAAGGGAAGAAAAGUUUGGAUGUAAAUAAUGUUCAAACCUGACGGUACCUUACAAGAAAGCACCGGCUAACUUCGUGCCAGCAGCCGCGGUAAUACGAGGGGUGCUAGCGUUGUCCGGAAUCACUGGGCGUAAAGGGUCCGUAGGCGUUUCAACAAGUCAUUUGUUAAAGACACCGGCUUAACCGGUGGCCUGCAUUUGAAACUGUUAGAAUAGAGUAUAGGAGAUGAAAGUGGAAUUCCUGGUGUAGCGGUGACAUGCGUAGAUAUCAGGAGGAACACCAAUGGCGAAGGCAACUUUCUGGCCUAUUACUGACGCUGAUGGACGAAAGCGUGGGGAGCGAACAGGAUUAGAUACCCUGGUAGUCCACGCCGUAAACGAUGAGUACUUGGUGUCGGGGGAUUCGACCCCCUCGGUACCGGAGCUAACGCGUUAAGUACUCCGCCUGGGAACUACGACCGCAAGGUUGAAACUCAAAGGAAUUGACGGGGACCCGCACAAGCGGUGGAACAUGUGGUUUAAUUCGAUGCAACGCGAAGAACCUUACCUGGGUUUGACAUGUAAGUGGUACCAAUUCGAAAGAUGAGGGACCCGCAAGGGAGCUUACACAGGUGCUGCAUGGUUGUCGUCAGCUCGUGCCGUGAGGUGUUGGUUUAAGUACCGCAACGAGCGCAACCCUCGUCGUUAGUUGUAUUUUCUAGCGAGACUGCCCGAAAGGGAGGAAGGUGGGGACGACGUCAAAUCAUCAUGGCUCUUACGUCUAGGGCUACACACACGCUACAAUGGCCGGUACAGACGGUUGCUAAGCCGCGAGGUGGAGCCAAUCCGAAAAAACCGGCCCCAGUUGGGAUUGCAGGCUGAAACUCGCC
rnacentral:rRNA from 1 species